UCGCCUGAAGGUUUCCACUAAGAACAUAAACAAGGAAUGGUCUGCUGUUCUGUCCCUCCCCCAGUUUAAUCCUAACUUAAUAUCCCUAACCCAUCCGUGUCCUGGACCAAGUUCUAGCGAUUCCGAACAUCUGGCUGUCUUCGUGAAACGUUUCCACGUCUAUUCUUUUCAAAUCACAUAUUAUUUGUGAUCCCCGAGUCUCGCCCUUUCUCUUUCCGGUGUGGAUUCCCGCCGAUUUUUCAAUCUGAAGCCCCUCGAGUGGCCGCCCUAUGCGAAAAGCGGAGUGCCUUAGUUGGAACCUGGCGUUUAGAAGUCGCUUCCUUAUACACAACCUUACUACUGCAAAAGGAAGCCGUCAAGGAAACAGUGGAAACGUGCUAGAACUGAAAGUACUCACACAACUACAUCACGUACCUUGAAGAGAGUUUCUGUCCUAUCAACCAGGAUAUUUCAGGAAUCAUUAAAAAAAUCAAAACUUGAAGUCUGAAGUCUAAACUGUGGAAAAGUAUUUUAAAAGGAGAAGAAAAUACAAAACAGUCCAGGACAAAACUAAAUAGCCUAACCAAGCCCACAAUGGGUCUCGGAUACGAAUUUCCUCCCAAAAAAACAGAGCGUCCAAGUGACAGAUCUGAAGCAUACGGAGCAUGGGUUACCAAGUACAAUAACGCACAACAAAAAUCGUUCAAAUGGAAAGAAGCCAAUGAUGACAAAAAGAGCGCCAACCAAAACAACCCUUGGGGCCCUGUCUUCAAAAAUAAACAAAACUUUCUCGAAAUGCACUUUUGCUGAGGACUUUUUAUCUAACCAGUGCAAUAUUAUGUAAUAUGUCAGAAUCUGUAUAAAUGUAGUUACUGUGACAAUUGUUGUGAAAUAUCCGUGAAAUGCUUACUUCAUUUCUUGUAGUUGAAUAAAACUAACUUUAAGAACA